GAAAAUGUAUGCAUAGAUUUGGAGGCCUAGUUAAUAAACAUUAUCAGGCUGAGAUCAGAACACCUUUGGAAGACCUACAUGAGCUAUACAGGAUCAGAUGAAGGGCUCUAUGUCAUUGCUAAAGAUAACUAGUGGAGGUAUGGAUUUCAUACAUUUCCAUCUAUGGAUCCAUAGAAGUAUUGCAACUGAGAAGAAAGGGACACGUAAAAUAGAAAAUACUUUAAUUUUUUCUGGCCAUUGUUUGCUUUGCUUUAAUCUAGACAUUGAUUUUUGACAGGAACACAAUGUGCCUAGUCUGAGAACCCUUCAGUGACAUACACUUAAAUGAGAGAUGUGGCGGCAUUAUGAAUCUCUACAAUAUCUUCACAUUUAGUAAACUGCAGUAGUUGCUGAAUGAUCAGGGAUUGUCAAUAACUCCUUUCAUGGUUCUCCAGAGAUGUACCAUCCUACUAGAUAGUGUGGAUUUGGAAGUUCACCAUGUAUAUUUCGUUAUCUACUACUUACUCAUGGAACAUUGUUACUCAGGAACGAUCGAGAAGUUGAAUUAAUUAUUAUCUCACUCUUGGAUAUCAAAGUUGCUCCUAAGUAAUAUGACUUUUAUACCUCUUACUAACUUCUAUUGUUCAGAGACAAAUUUUGUUAGAACCAACUCUACAUGUAUAGAGAAUUCAGAGUUGAUAUUUUGCCAAUUACCUCUAUUUAACAUCCAUUCUGCUCUUGUGACUAUGCUGGUACUCUGACUAAACAUUAUCAAAAUAUUAUUUCAGAUCCAUUUAUAUUGAUCAGAGGGUACAAUGGAAUUAAUUCCAAAACAAAUCUAAAAGCAUAUGCUAGAAGUGAACAAUUAGCUAAGCCUUCAGUUGAGUUUAAUAAAAUGAAAUCUCUGUAAAUAAGGAUAUAGUAC
ensembl:lncRNA